rnacentral:lncRNA from 1 species
AUUUGGGGGAUCUGUUGUGUGUUAGACUGUAUCCCAAUUCCCUGUAUUAGUGUGGCGGAAAAACAAAAACCUGUGCUGUUGACGUAGUUGGCAAUGAGAUACCUUUGGACACAAUAGUAGGUCAAUGUGUAUAUGGGAUAUUCUGAACUCCUAGGCAAUUUAUUUCGAUAUUUUCAAGUACUCUUUGGUUUUUACUCGUGGAAGACAUAAUUAGCUCAAGCUUAUCAGUAACACAGAUGAGUCAUGUUUUUCUUGGAUCUACUUGAGACACGAAAAUCAAGUUUUCUUUUGCACAUCACCUUCAUGUGCGGUGAAAUUCAGACUGGGACAUUAGACAUGGACAACUCUUUUUCUUUUGGUACCUACGGCUUCAUUUACUGGGUUAACCCUUUUUCCAUUAACCCAUUCGGAUCUCCAUUAAGACAAGCUAGUUGCUGACUUUGCAAAGAUGUUUGCAACACAAGCCCAUUUAAAAUCAACGAAGGAGCUAAAAAUGACCAUUGGAACAUAAACCACAUGUGCAAAAAGAUUUCAACACUUACACCAGUGGUUGGUAUAUGUUGGUCCAUACCUACAUGUAUGAAAUGGACAGUUGCAAACAUGUCAGUGAAACCUCAUGUGGUGUUAUUUUUUAUAGUGAUAUGCAUGUUUAAUGUUUGAGGAACUAGUCACCAAUGUACUGUCCUUUAUUCCUAACAUAUAAAUACUAUACAUGCCAGAAGCUAUUCUAAUGUGACUAUUGAACUGAGGUUUCACUGUGUUGCUGCUGGGAUGGGAUUCUACCCUGCGGUACAUGCGUAGGGAGGGUGUAAAAUAAGCCGUCAUGUUUCUUUUUAAGUUGCAGCCGACUCUCCACCAAGUCACUAUUAUCAUCACCACCAAAUUUUUCAGAAACAGUUGUUGACUACUCAGAAGUAGUCAGUGGGCAGACCUCUUCGGGAGCAGUAAGCACAGUAGUGUGAUUCGAGCUGGGAAACAUCAAAGCUAUACAGCUGUAUCCUCCUCAAAACCUGGUGAAGAAUGCUAUUUUUCUAGGCUGAGCUUUUGUUAUAAACCUAAUAUUCUGAAAGCAAGGGUUAACUAUCCUAAUCUGUCUUUUUCUUUUUCUCCUCCUGCAUUUGUUAAUUCUGAAUGUAUUUUUAACAGAGUGAUUUUUUUGACUUUACUAGUGUAAUUUGCAUUUUAAAAAUAAAUGGAAAAAUG